AUUGAACGCUAGCGGGAUGCCUUACACAUGCAAGUCGAACGGAGCGGCGAACGGGUGAGUAAUGUAUCGGAAUGUGCCCAGUAGCGGGGGAUAACUUCGGGAAAGCGUAGCUAAUACCGCAUACUAUCGGAGCGGCCGGUAUCGGAUUAGCUAGUUGGUGGGGUAACGGCCUACCAAGGGGACGAUCCGUAGCUGGUUUGAGAGGACGACCAGCCAAACUGAGACUGGGACACGGCCCAGUCUCCUACGGGGGGCGGCAGUGGGAAAUUUUGAACAUGGGGGGAAGCCCUAAUCCAGCCAUCCCGGGUGGUGGAUGAAGGCCUUCGGGUUGUAAGGCACUUUUGGCAGGAAGGCGGUACCUGCAGAAUAAGCCCCGGCAAACUACGUGCAAGCAGCCGCGGUAAUC
rnacentral:rRNA from 1 species